rnacentral:rRNA from 1 species
UACGUAGGGCGCAAGCGUUGUCCGGAAUUACUGGGCGUAAAGUGUGCGCAGGCGGCCGCGCAAGUCGGGUGUGAAAUCCCCGAGCUUAACUUGGGAAUUGCGCUCGAAACUACGUGGCUGGAAUGUGGCAGAGGAAGGUGGAAUUCCACGUGUAGCGGUGAAAUGCGUAGAUAUGUGGAGGAACACCGAUGGCGAAGGCAGCCUUCUGGGCCAACACUAACGCUCAUGCACGAAAGCGUGGGGAGCAAACAGG